CAGGGCAUACGCGCUUGUCCUAAGCCAUGUCCCUUAGACGGCUAAGACACACGGCCGUGUCUCUGCCCGUGUGUUUACUAUCAUGCAUACUGACUUCAAAUUUUUACGUCCAGGGGAAACACGGCUGGACCACACGCCUAUGGGGCAGUCCGUGCGUCGCAUACGGUUUAGACAAACGCCCAUGUGUCUACCUGUGUGGACAAUAUAAAGCUAUUUACCAAACCUAAUUGCCACCCUUAUUUACAUAACCUGCAUAGCAGCAACCAAAAUCAAGAUAAGACUAUCCCAAGCAACCAAAUUAGCCACAA
rnacentral:lncRNA from 1 species